GGGGGACACCUCUAGAUGAAAGAUUAAGGGGACCCAACCAACACAGAGAAACCAACUAAGGUAGGGACAGAUAGAGGGGGGUACCUACAUUCAGAAGGAACAGGUUCCAAUACAGAAACAGGUAGGGACAGAUAGAGAAUGGAGAGUGAGGGAAAGAGAGAGAGAGGUAGGUAGGGGCCAGCUAGACUGCAGUAGAGAGAGGUAGGUAGGGGCCAGCUAGACUGCAGUAGAGAGAGGUAGGUAGGGGCCAGCUAGACUGUAGUAGAGAGAGGUAGGGGCCAGCUAGACUACAGUAGAGAGAGGUAGGUAAGGGCCAGCUAGACUACAGUAGAGAGAGGUAUGUAGGGGCCAGCUAGACUGCAGUAGAGGGGUGGGUAGGGGCCAGCUAGACUACAGUAGAGGGGAAGAGAGGGGUAGGUAGAGAGACCAGCUAGACUACAGUAGAGGGAAAGGGAGACUUAACAGAUUUUUUUUAUCAGAUUGUAGAAAAAAUACACCACACAGAGAGCCAUAGACAGAGACGGGCACUCCCACAGUAAGACACACACACUUGCAAUACCUAGAGCUUUGUGUAGAUGGCGCUGUUAAACUAGUCAGACAUACUCAGACACUGUCAGUGAGGGACAGACAGCGUGUUGGGGACAGACAGCGUGUUGGGGACAGACAGCGUGUUGGGGACAGACAGCGUGUUGGGGACAGACAGCGUGUUGGGGACAGACAGGUAGGUGUCUAGCCUCUGUUGAUUUCUGAGAGAUGUCUUUUUUUCCGGGGUAAAGGAUAUUCUAUAUGAAUGAAAAUUCAUCCUGUUAUUACUAGAUCACUGGUUCCCUGCUGAUCUCCUCCAACAAGCAUGCUUUGUUUCUGUCCUUUUCCCUAAGGAAUGCUUUCUUCAUAUUACUAUCGUGAGAUAAUUCUCAUGUUCUCUUCUAGAUAGACAGGGGAUAACUAACCUCUUGGUUCAUACGAGUCACCAUUAUAAGAGGGAGAGAAAUAGGGUUUAAAUAAUACCUGUUAUUCUUACGUAAAGUUAGGAAACUACAGAUUACAGCCUCAAGAUCACGUCUCUAGUUGUACCUGUUUGUGUGUCGUGUCUGAGUUUGUUUACCUAUUGUUUACCGUACAUGACACUGUUGAUUGUUUUAAUAAGGUAACGAUUUAACACUUGACUCCUCCCACCCCAUUGUCCUCCACCUGUAAACUGUGACCAACUGUGUGUGUGUGUGUUGCCAUAGUGAUAUCUUGAGGAAAGAGAUUAAACCCAUAAUUGUUUAUCCUGAUAACGUGUUACAAGAGGUCCAUCUUUUGUUGCUUUUUGUUGCUUUUUUUAAUUUGCUGCUAUUUUUUUGUUUCCAUGGUGAGCUUAAAUGAACACAAACAAAACAUUGUUUAUUUUUAGUUUUGUGGUUUUGCACUUUUAAUUUUUUAUUUUUGUAUUAAGGAUGUUUUUAACCUUCCCUCAUAAAGGACAUCUGAAUUCUAACGUCCGUGUUCUAUUGUUGUUCAGUGUAAAGUGUCUCUUUCUUGUUGUUCAGUGUAAAGUGUCUCUUUCUUGCUGGCAAAGCAAAAGUAGGAAAACUAAUGGCAAAUAAAAAGUAGGAAAACUAAUGGCAAAUAAAAAGUAGGAAAACUAAUGGCAAAUAAAAAGUAGGAAAACUUAAUGGCAAAUAAAAAGUGAAACUGCGAGUAAUCCGCACUUUUACAACGA